rnacentral:rRNA from 1 species
UAACCUAUGGGGGGCAGCAGUGAGGAAUAUUGGUCAAUGGGCGGAAGCCUGAACCAGCCAAGUAGCGUGCAGGAUGACGGCCCUACGGGUUGUAAACUGCUUUUAUACGGGAAUAACGCGCCUUACGUGUAGGGCUUUGCAUGUACCGUAUGAAUAAGGACCGGCUAAUUCCGUGCCAGCAGCCGCGGUAAUACGGAAGGUCCGGGCGUUAUCCGGAUUUAUUGGGUUUAAAGGGAGCGUAGGCCGCAUGUCAAGCGUGCUGUGAAAUGUCCGGGCUCAACCCGGGCCUUGCAGCGCGAACUGGG